rnacentral:rRNA from 1 species
UACGUAGGGCGCAAGCGUUGUCCGGAAUUAUUGGGCGUAAAGAGCUCGUAGGCGGCUUGUCACGUCGGGUGUGAAAGCCCGGGGCUUAACCCCGGGUCUGCAUUCGAUACGGGCUGGCUAGAGUGUGGUAGGGGAGAUCGGAAUUCCUGGUGUAGCGGUGAAAUGCGCAGAUAUCAGGAGGAACACCGGUGGCGAAGGCGGACCUCUGGGCCAUUACUGACGCUGAGGAGCGAAAGCGUGGGGAGCGAACAGG